UGAGGGUGAGACGUGAAGCGGAGCCGUUUCAGGCGAAGUCAGUGAUCCCAUGCUGCCGAGAAAAGCCUCUAGCGAGUUUCGAGCGGCCCGUACCCCAAACCGACACAGGUGGUCAGGUAGAGAAUACCGAGGCGAUCGGGCGAACUGUGGUUAAGGAACUCGGCAAAUUGCCCCCGUAACUUCGGGAGAAGGGGGGCCACCGAUGGUGAGACCACAUGCUGGUGGAGCGGUUGGUGGCCGCAGAGACCAGGGGGAAGCGACUGUUUACUAAAAACACAGGUCCAUGCGAAGUCGUAAGACGAUGUAUAUGGACUGACGCCUGCCCGGUGCUGGAACGUUAAGGGGACCUGUUAGUCCGUGAGGGCGAGGCGGAGAACUUAAGCGCCAGUAAACGGCGGUGGUAACUAUAACCAUCCUAAGGUAGCGAAAUUCCUUGUCGGGUAAGUUCCGACCUGCACGAAUGGCGUAACGACUUCCCCACUGUCUCAACCACAGGCCCGGCGAAAUUGCAGUACGAGUAAAGAUGCUCGUUACGCGCGGCAGGACGGAAAGACCCCGGGACCUUCACUAUAGCUUGACAUUGGUACUCGAAUUCGAUUGUGUAGGAUAGGUGGGAGCCUGUGAAGCGGCCACGCCAGUGGUUGUGGAGGCAAGCUUGAAAUACCACUCUGUUGGAUUUGGGUAUCUAACUUCGGACCGUGAUCCGGUUCAGGGACAGUGUCUGGUGGGUAGUUUAACUGGGGCGGUUGCCUCCUAAAAUGUAACGGAGGCGCCCAAAGGUUCCCUCAGCCUGGUUGGCAAUCAGGUGUUGAGUGCAAGUGCACAAGGGGGCUUGACUGUGAGACUGACAGGUCGAGCAGGGACGAAAGUCGGGACUAGUGAUCCGGCACUGGCAGGUGGAAGCGGUGUCGCUCAACGGAUAAAAGGUACCCCGGGGAUAACAGGCUGAUCUUCCCCAAGAGUCCAUAUCGACGGGAUGGUUUGGCACCUCGAUGUCGGCUCGUCGCAUCCUGGGGCUGGAGUAGGUCCCAAGGGUUGGGCUGUACGCCCAUUAAAGCGGUACGCGAGCUGGGUUUAGAACGUCGUGAGACAGUUCGGUCCCUAUCCGCCGCGCGCGUAGGAUACUUGAGAAGGGCUGUCCCUAGUACGAGAGGACCGGGACGGACGAACCUCAGGUGUGCCAGUUGUUCUGCCAAGAGCACGGCUGGUUGGCUACGUUCGGAAGGGAUAACCGCUGAAAGCAUCUAAGCGGGAAGCUCGCUUCGAGAUGAGGUAUCCCACCCCUUGAGGGUUAAGGCCCCCAGUUAGACCACUGGGUUGAUAGGCCGGAAGUGGAAGCCUGGUAACAGGUUUGAGCUGACCGGUAUUAAUAGGCCGAGGACUUGACCUC
rnacentral:rRNA from 1 species